AAGGGGACUCCAAGUGCGAGGGCAUAUAGUCCUCGCUUUUCUGUACCGUAAGGUGGUACAGGAAUAAGGGCUGGGCAAGACCGGUGCCAGCCGCCGCGGUAAUACCGGCAGCCCAAGUGAUGACCGCUAUUAUUGGGCCUAAAGCGUCCGUAGCUGGCCACGCAAGUCCAUCGGGAAAUCUGUCCGCUUAACGGGCAGGCGUCCGGUGGAAACUGCGUGGCUUGGGACCGGAAGACCUGAGGGGUACGUCCGGGGUAGGAGUGAAAUCCCGUAAUCCUGGACGGACCACCGGUGGCGAAAGCGCCUCAGGAAGACGGAUCCGACGGUGAGGGACGAAAGCUCGGGUCACGAACCGGAUUAGAUACCCGGGUAGUCCGAGCUGUAAACGAUGUCUGCUAGGUGUGACACAGGCUACGAGCCUGUGUUGUGCCGUAGGGAAGCCGUGAAGCAGACCGCCUGGGAAGUACGUCCGCAAGGAUGAAACUUAAAGGAAUUGGCGGGGGAGCACUACAACCGGAGGAGCCUGCGGUUUAAUUGGACUCAACGCCGGACAUCUCACCAGCAUCGACAGUAGCAAUGAAGAUCAGCCUGAUGAGCUUAUUGGAGCUACUGAGAGGAGGUGCAUGGCCGCCGUCAGCUCGUACCGUGAGGCGUCCUGUUAAGUCAGGCAACGAGCGAGACCCGCACUCCUAAUUGCCAGCAACACCCUUGUGGUGGUUGGGUACAUUAGGAGGACUGCCAGUGCCAAACUGGAGGAAGGAACGGGCAACGGUAGGUCAGUAUGCCCCGAAUGUGCUGGGCGACACGCGGGCUACAAUGGCCGAGACAGUGGGACGCAACGCCGAAAGGCGACGCUAAUCUCCGAAACUCGGUCGUAGUUCGGAUUGCGGAUUGAAACUCAUCCGCAUGAAGCUGGAUUCGGUAGUAAUCGCGCCUCAGAAGGGCGCGGUGAAUACGUCCCUGCUCCUUGCACACACCGCCCGUCAAAGCACCCGAGUGGGGUCCGGAUGAGGCCGGUGCAACGCCGGUCGAAUCGUCUCA
rnacentral:rRNA from 1 species